rnacentral:tRNA from 1 species
AUCUGGGUGGCUCAGUGGAUUGAGGGCCAGGCCUAGAAACAGGAGGUGCUAGGUUCAAAUCUGGCCUCAGAUA